rnacentral:rRNA from 1 species
GACAGAGGUCCCGAGCGUUAGGCGGAAUCACUGGGCUUAAAGCGUGUGUAGGCGGAUGCCUAAGUACCUUGUGAAAUCCCACGGCUUAACCGUGGAACUGCUCGGUAUACUGGGUGUCUUGAGCCACUUAGGGGCUACCGGAACAAAUGGUGGAGCGGUGAAAUGCGUAGAUAUCAUUUGGAACGCCAAUGGUGAAAACAGGUAGCUGGGGAGUGUGCUGACGCUGAGGAGCGAAAGCCAGGGGAGCAAACGGG